UAUUGGUCAAUGGGCGCAAGCCUGAACCAGCCAUCCCGCGUGAAGGAAGAAGGCGCUAUGCGUCGUAAACUUCUUUUCCAGGGGGAGAAUUUUCCGGUCGUGACCGGGAUUGACGGUACUCUGGGAAUAAGCAUCGGCUAACUCCGUGCCAGCAGCCGCGGUAAUACGGAGGAUGCGAGCGUUAUCCGGAUUUAUUGGGUUUAAAGGGUGCGUAGGCGGAUCAAUAAGUCAGUGGUGAAAUUCUGCAGCUUAACUGUAGACUUGCCAUUGAUACUGUUGGUCUUGAGUAUGGUCAAGGUAGGCGGAAUGUGUAAUGUAGCGGUGAAAUGCUUAGAUAUUACACAGAACACCGAUUGCGAAGGCAGCUUGCUGGGCCAAUACUGACGCUCAGGCACGAAAGCGUGGGGAUCGAACAG
rnacentral:rRNA from 1 species